rnacentral:rRNA from 1 species
GAUCAUGGCUCAGGAUGAACGCUGGCGGCGUGCUUAACACAUGCAAGUCGAACGGGGAUUAUUUCAUUGAAGCUUCGGCAGAUUUGGCUUAAUCCUAGUGGCGGACGGGUGAGUAACGCGUGGGUAACCUGCCUUGUACAGGGGGAUAACAGUCAGAAAUGACUGCUAAUACCGCAUAAGCGCACGACGGACCGCAUCGGUCCGGUGUAGAAAACUCGGUGUAUAAGAUCGGACCCGUCGGUUGGUAUUA